CAAACCGGAGGAAGGUGGGGAUGACGUCAAAUCAUCAUGCCCCUUAUGACCUGGGCUACACACGUGCUACAAUGGACAGAACAAAGGGCAGCGAAACCGCGAGGUUAAGCCAAUCCCACAAAUCUGUUCUCAGUUCGGAUCGCAGUCUGCAACUCGACUGCGUGAAGCUGGAAUCGCUAGUAAUCGCGGAUCAGCAUGCCGCGGUGAAUACGUUCCCGGGCCUUGUACACACCGCCCGUCACACCACGAGAGUUUGUAACACCCGAAGUCGGUGAGGUAACCUUUUAGGAGCCAGCCGCCGAAGGUGGGACAGAUGAUUGGGGUGAAGUCGUAACAAAGG
rnacentral:rRNA from 2 species